rnacentral:tRNA from 1 species
GGACACGUACUUUAUGCUAAAAGAACUCGCUUGCAUCGAGAAAAUAGAUCGAUUAUCUCGUGCCCA